GACAAAUCAUUAAAGGAUGCUGCAGGGAACUUGCCAGGACUGUCCUGGAGAUGGCGAAGCUAAAUACAUCCACCUUCGCAUGCUUCAUCCUGGAAUUUGUCAACAUUAUGUGCUGCUUUAUGUCUGAAAUAUGAACCUCUGUUGUAUACUACACAAUCCAAAUACUGCUGGUGCUUCAAGUUCUUGAAAUGAUAAAUGAAUAGAUACUGCCCCACCAUUCAGCGUCAACCCUUUA